rnacentral:rRNA from 1 species
UACGAAGGGUGCAAGCGUUAAUCGGAAUUACUGGGCGUAAAGCGCGCGUAGGUGGUUAAGUCAGCGAUCUGUGAAAGCCCCGGGCUUAACCUGGGAACUGCAGGUCGAACUGCUUGGCUAGAGUAUGGUAGAGGGGUGUGGAAUUUCCUGUGUAGCGGUGAAAUGCGUAGAUAUAGGAAGGAACAUCAGUGGCGAAGGCGACACCCUGGACCGAUACUGACACUGAGGCGCGAAAGCGUGGGUAGCGAACAGG